rnacentral:rRNA from 1 species
GGCUCAGGAUGAACGCUGGCGCGUGCCUAACACAUGCAAGUCGAACGAAGCACCUUGAUUUCCUCGGAUUGAUUGGUGACUGAGUGGCGGACGGGUGAGUAACGCGUGGGUAACCUGCCUCAUACAGGGGGAUAACAGUUAGAAAUGACUGCUAAUACCGCAUAAGCGCACAGUAUCGCAUGAUGCAGUGUGAAAAACUCCGGUGGUAUGAGAUGGACCCGCGUCUGAUUAGCUAGUUGGUAAGGUAACGGCUUACCAAGGCGACGAUCAGUAGCCGGCCUGAGAGGGUGAUCGGCCACAUUGGGACUGAGACACGGCCCAAACUCCUACGGGAGGCAGCAGUGGGGAAUAUUGCACAAUGGGGGAAACCCUGAUGCAGCAACGCCGCGUGAAGGAUGACGUAUUUCGGUAUGUAAACUUCUAUCAGCAAGGAAGAUGAUGACGGUACUUGACUAAGAAGCCCCGGCUAACUACGUG